AUUGAACGCUGGCGGCAGGCCUAACACAUGCAAGUCGAGCGUGAAAGGGCCUCGGCCUGAGUAAAGCGGCGGACGGGUGAGUAACACGUAGGAAUCUACCUAGUAGUGGGGGAUAACGUUCCGAAAGGAACGCUAAUACCGCAUACGUUCUGAGGAAGAAAGCAGGGGAUCGCAAGACCUUGCGCUAUUAGAUGAGCCUGCGUCCGAUUAGCUAGUUGGUGGGGUAAAGGCCUACCAAGGCGACGAUCGGUAACUGGGCUGAGAGGAUGAUCAGUCACACUGGAACUGAGACACGGUCCAGACUCCUACGGGAGGCAGCAGUGGGGAAUAUUGGACAAUGGGCGCAAGCCUGAUCCAGCCAUGCCGCGUGUGUGAAGAAGGCCUUCGGGUUGUAAAGCACUUUAAGCGGGGAGGAAGGCUCGAUAGCUAAUAUCUAUCGGGAUUGACGUUACCCGCAGAAUAAGCACCGGCAAACUUCGUGCCAGCAGCCGCAGUAA
rnacentral:rRNA from 1 species